rnacentral:rRNA from 1 species
CAGCAGCCACGGGAAUACGUAGGGUGCGAGCGUUAAUCGGAAUUACUGGGCGUAAAGCGUGGGCAGGCGGUUGUGUAAGACAGGUGUGAAAUCCCCGGGCUUAACCUGGGAAUUGCGCUUGUGACUGCACAGCUAGAGUAUGGCAGAGGGGGGUGGAAUUCCACGUGUAGCAGUGAAAUGCGUAGAGAUGUGGAGGAACACCGAUGGCGAAGGCAGCCCCCUGGGCCAAUACUGACGCUCAUGCACGAAAGCGUGGGGAGCAAACAGGAUUAGAUACCCCCGUAGUCCCUGUCUCUUAUAC